rnacentral:tRNA from 1 species
CGCGGGGUGGAGCAGCGGUAGCUUGUCGGGCUCAUAACCCGAAGGUCGCAGGUUCGAGUCCUGCCCCCGCUACCA